UGAUUUUUUUUUUGUUUGUGCAGUUUUUUGCGCCUAAUUCCAGUCCUACCCCACAUGAUUUUUUUUGUUCGUGCAGUUUUUUGCGGCAUCUCUUCGUAGAAUUUGCAACAAAGGGAUCUGAAAAGAACUAAGGAGCCAAUUAGAGGUCGGAAUAAUAUGCUUUCUUUUGUGUAACGCCCUCCCCCAAGCCGACGCUACUUUUCGUCUCCCUCCACGUUGGGCCGCUGACGAGACCCGGGUGGCGGCGAUCCACUUGCCCUCGAGGAGCCCUCUCCGCCGCUGAGGACGCUGCGGCGCAGCCACCUCCAUGGACGAGGAACAGCGCAAGCCUGCCGAAAUUUAGCACCGUUUCAAAGGGUGCGCAUCAUCUUGAUCCAUGGAGUAACACCUGCUUGGUAUGAUUAGUCUUCCUUAUAGAAUUUACUCAUUCGAUGAUCCUUUCCCUGAAAGGAUCGCUGGAAUAUGCAGGAGAAUGGGGAAGUGAAGGUCAAGAAAGAAGGACAAAAAAAGGGGAUCUUAUUGAUUCAAUUUCAGCACCUGCCUGAUCAAAUUUUCUCAUGGAGAAUAUAAACGGUUUCAAACCUUUCUUCUUGCAUUGGCCUGCAAAAGGAUCAUGCUAUUUCUUGAUAACAGACAUGUAGACAUACACAGGAUGAAGCUGAACAUUAGCUGGACUCUUGGAACUUGCAAAAUGGCUUCGCUAGAUAGCAAGCUCGUUGUAGUUUGGCAAUUCACAAAUAAGCACAACUAGAAUGUAUAUGUUGGGUUGAGUUUGAGUUAGGCUUGAGCUCAAUUACCCCUUAUGUGUGAAGGCCUGCAGCUUGGCUUGUAAAUAUGAACAUGGCCCUUUUAUUUUUUUAGGGGACUUAUUUGGUUGAGUAUAUUAGAUUAUGGGAUAAUUUGGUGAUUUGUGAAAAUUAUUUAUCCAGAUAGA